GAAGUAAGAUAAUUCAAGAAUAAGCUUCUAACUUAAUUCUUAAGCGAUGGAAUUCGUUUUUACUUCU
rnacentral:tRNA from 1 species